rnacentral:rRNA from 1 species
GGGCUUAUAUUUCUUGGAACAGAAUGUCAUAGAGGGUGAGAAUCCCGUCUGGAGUCCGGACACGGCCUAUGUGAAACUCCUUCGACGAGUCGAGUUGUUUGGGAAUGCAGCUCUAAAUGGGUGGUAAAUUUCAUCUAAAGCUAAAUAUUGGCCAGAGACCGAUAGCGCACAAGUAGAGUGAUCGAAAGAUGAAAAGCACUUUGAAAAGAGAGUUAAAAAGUACGUGAAAUUGUUGAAAGGGAAGCGCUGGCAACCAGACUUGCGCGUCGGGGUUCCCCCUUGCUUCUGCUUGGGUUACUCCCCGGCGUUCAGGCCAACAUCGGUUUCGGGGGUUGGUUAAAGGCCCUGGGAAUGUACCUACCCUCCGGGGUAGACUUAUAGCCCAGGGUGUCAUGCGACCUCCCGGGACCGAGGAACGCGCUUCGGCUCGGAUGUUGGCGUAAUGGUUGUCAGCGACCCGUCUUGAAACACGGACCAAGGAGUCUAACAUCUAUGCGAGUGUUAGGGUGUCAAACCCUUACGCGGAAUGAAAGUGAACGGAGGUAGGAAGCCGUUAGGCUGCACUAUCGACCGAUCCUGAAAUUUAUGGAAGGAUUUGAGUAAGAGCAUAGCUGUUGGGACCCGAAAGAUGGUGAACUAUGCCUGAAUAGGGUGAAGCCAGAGGAAACUCUGGUGGAGGCUCGCAGCGGUUCUGACGUGCAAAUCGAUCGU